rfam:Brassica oleracea var. oleracea cultivar TO1000 chromosome C3, whole genome shotgun sequence
GGUAGUUAAGAAACUGUUUCUUAACUUUUAACUAAAAAAACUAAGAACCGGUUCUUAAAUAAGGACUUUAAGAACCGGUUCUUAGUUUUUUUAGUUAAAAGUUAAGAAACAGUUUCUUUUCU